GGGUGAGGUUCUGGCCUGGGCCCAUCUAAAUGUGAGGGUCCUAGAGCUGAGACAGGGUGAGGUUCUGGCCUGGGCCCAUCUAAAUGUGAGGGUCCUAGAGCUGAGACAGGGUGAGGUUCUGGCCUGGGCCCAUCUAAAUGUGAGGGUCCUAGAGCUGAGACAGGGUGAGGUUCUGGCCUGGGCCCAUCUAAAUGUGAGGGUCCUAGAGCUGAGACAGGGUGAGGUUCUGGCCUGGGCCCAUCUAAAUGUGACAUACUCUGUCCUCUCUGAGAGAACGGGACACAUACACAUGUUCUGAGUUCAU
ensembl:lncRNA